rnacentral:rRNA from 1 species
GACGAACGCUGGCGGCGUGCUUAACACAUGCAAGUCGAACGGACUUAUGAGUUUCGAUUCAUAAGUUAGUGGCAGACGGGUGAGUAACGCGUGGGAAUGUACCAUUUGGUUCGGAAUAACUACGGGAAACUGUAGCUAAUACUGGAUAAGCCCGAGAGGGGAAAGAUUUAUCGCCGAAUGAGCAGCCCGCGUUAGAUUAGGUAGUUGGUGGGGUAAAGGCCUACCAAGCCUGCGAUCUAUAGCUGGUCUGAGAGGAUGAUCAGCCACACUGGGACUGAGACACGGCCCAGACUCCUACGGGAGGCAGCAGUGGGGAAUAUUGGACAAUGGGGGAAACCCUGAUCCAGCAAUGCCGCGUGAGUGAUGAAGGCCUUCGGUUGUAAGACUCUUUUGUCACGCGACGAUGAUGACGGUAGCGUGAGAAUA